UUGUAUGGGUUGAUGCUAGGGCAGAGGAGACUUGGAUUGAAAAGUUGAACGUAGUUAUCAAGGAGCUCGUUAAGGAAAAAGAUGAAGAAAAAGAAAGGUUCAAUGGAAUUAUUGCGGGGUUGUUGGCUGACAAAGAAAAAGAUAAGGUGG